UACGGGGGGGGGCAAGCGUUGUUCGGAAUUACUGGGCGUAAAGGGCUCGUAGGCGGCCAACUAAGUCCGACGUGAAAUCCCCAGGCUUAACCUGGGAACUGCGUCGGAUACUGGAUGGCUUGAAUUCGGGAGAGGGAUGCAGAAUUCCAGGUGUAGCGGUGAAAUGCGUAGAUAUCUGGAGGAAUACCGGUGGCGAAGGCGGCAUCCUGGACCGACAUUGACGCUGAUGAGCGAAAAGCUAGGGGAGCAAACGGG
rnacentral:rRNA from 1 species